UGUCUUCCAUUUUACAAGUGAACCUCAGAUGCAGGAGGUGGGGUGUGUUGCGUCCCCAGGUGAUUUACUGCUGAGACCAACUGUGUUUGUAACCAGACCAAGAAUCCAUGGCUGAAGGAGCUGAUGGAGGAGCCGUGCUGAAGAAGUUGAUGGAGGAGCCGUGCUGAAGGAGCUGUUGGAGGAGCUGAUGGAGGAGCCGAGCUGAUGGAGGCGUCGUGCUGAAGGCCCUGCCUGGUGGAGGCCCUGCCUGGUGAAGGACGUCUGUCGUGGGACCAGGACUCUGUCGGAGGAGAGCUGCUGGAGGACGACUAGGAAUCGACCAACAAGGAUUCCUCAACGUGUUUCUGGAGCGGAGGCGAGCUGGUAGGGGAGCCGCAAAUCUGGAGGACGACAUCACUCCACCAACCAGGAUCCUCGUCUAUCAUGGACAUGUAACUGCAGUUCUGUGAGUAUCCCAACUUGACCAUGAAGUUGAACUGCGAACUGUAAGUCAUAAGUUUCUCAUUAAUCUUGGGCACAUUGCUGUAUUUUGGCUUCCUAGUGAGUUAACC
rnacentral:lncRNA from 1 species